rnacentral:rRNA from 1 species
GACGAACGCUGGCGGCGUGCCUAAUACAUGCAAGUUGAGCGCUGAAGGUUGGUACUUGUACCAACUGGAUGAGCAGCGAACGGGUGAGUAACGCGUGGGGAAUCUGCCUUUGAGCGGGGGACAACAUUUGGAAACGAAUGCUAAUACCGCAUAAAAACUUUAAACACAAGUUUUAAGUUUGAAAGAUGCAAUUGCAUCACUCAAAGAUGAUCCCGCGUUGUAUUAGCUAGUUGGUGAGGUAAAGGCUCACCAAGGCGAUGAUACAUAGCCGACCUGAGAGGGUGAUCGGCCACAUUGGGACUGAGACACGGCCCAAACUCCUACGGGAGGCAGCAGUAGGGAAUCUUCGGCAAUGGAAGAAAGUCUGACCGAGCAACGCCGCGGGAGUGAAGAAGGUUUUCGGAUCGUAAAACUCUGUUGGUAGAGAAGAACGUUGGUGAGAGUGGAAAGCUCAUCAAGUGACGGUAACUACCCAGAAAGGGACGGCUAACUACGUG